rnacentral:rRNA from 1 species
ACCCGAAAGGUCGAAGGGAGAAAUUCAUUCGCGUUUCGACGCAGGCGUCGGACGGGAUCGUGCGACGGGACGCGUUCUUCGCGGAACACGUCUCGCGCCUUUCGUCCUUCGAACCGGCGACGAACGCGUGCACUUUUCUCCUGGUAGGACGUCGCGAUCCGUCGGGUGUCGGUCUACGACGACGACGACGACGACACGCACGAUUCGUCGUGUGUGUGUGUACACGUUGUUUGCGGUGGAGCCCGCCCGUCGCGUCUCGUACGUGCGGACGGACCCGCUCGUUCCGGCCGACUCGCUCGACGGUAUAACUAAGGUCGGGGGUCGCUCGUUUUCCUAAAAGGAGCGUUCGACUCGUCGCAAGCGCGCCACGUGAGUCGGCACGCGGACCUCGUGCCGCGUCCGACCUCUGGUGACUGUUGGCGACGAAGUUCUCGGACAGACCUCGUCCCUCUUUUUUUUUUGGAAGAGGGAAAAAGGAGACCGAUCGGCGCGUCUUGAAACACGGACCAAGGAGUCUAGCAUGUACGCGAGUCAUUGGGAAUCGCUAAACCUAAAGGCGUAAUGAAAGUGAAGAUCUUCCUCGCGAAGAUCGAGGGAAGACGGACGGGGGAUCGUUUCUCGAGAUACCGUCCCGCAUUCCCGGGGCGUCUCGUUCACAUCGCGUGAAGAGGCGCACCAAGAGCGUACACGCUGGGACCCGAAAGAUGGUGAACUAUGCCUGGUCAGGACGAAGUCAGGGGAAACCCUGAUGGAGGUCCGUAGCGAUU